rnacentral:rRNA from 1 species
GUAAGGAAUAUUGGACAAUGGACGCAAGUCUGAUCCAGCCAUGCCGCGUGAAGGAUUAAGGUCCUCUGGAUUGUAAACUUCUUUUAUAAGGGACGAAAAAAGGCUUUUCUAAGUCGUCUGACGGUACCUUAUGAAUAAGCACCGGCUAACUCCGUGCCAGCAGCCGCGGUAAUACGGAGGGUGCAAGCGUUAUCCGGAUUCACUGGGUUUAAAGGGUGCGUAGGCGGGCAGGUAAGUCAGUGGUGAAAUCCUAGAGCUUAACUCUAGAACUCCCAUUGAUACUAUCUGUCUUGAAUAUUGUGGAGGUAAGCGGAAUAUGUCAUGUAGCGGUGAAAUGCUUAGAUAUGACAUAGAACACCUAUUGCGAAGGCAGCUUACUACGCAUAUAUUGACGCUGAGGCACGAAAGCGUGGGGAUCAAACAGGAUUAGAUACCCUAGUAGUCC